GAAAAGAUAGCAUAACAUGCAACUGCCUUGAAAGCUUUUCAUAAGGAACCGCCCUCCUUUCUUUUCG
rnacentral:tRNA from 1 species